AUCAGGUUAGAAUCCAAGAGACCAAGUGUUCUAGUCCUGUACAAAGCCAGAUGGGUCAUCUUGGCCUAGUCAUUCUCAGCCAUAGGAAAGAGGCAAGGGCAAACCACUGCCAAGAAAAUUGUGAGGUCUCCACAACUGAAUAGAAGGGGAAAACAAAGUACAAUUAAGCUUGAUGGGAUUUACUCUCAGCCCCGAAACAGCACCUGUAUUCAUCGCAAUGGACAAAUGCACUACUCUUCUGAAAAGUCAAUUCUAUAUCCAGAAUCUCUACUUAAUAUUUUAAGAAUGUCCUAAAUUGGUUCCCUAAACUGCUGAGGGAAAAUGAACCAUAAAGAAUUCAAAGCAGAGAAGGACCAAAUGCAGCCAGUUAAAAUGAACAUAACAAUUAAGCAAUUCUAGCCAUAUCACCUCACUUGGAUUUUUGCUGCUUUCUGAGCCUGAUGGUUUUCUUGCAGACAUUUUACUACCCAGCUAGGAAUGCCUUCUUUCUCUGCAUCUGGUCUAUGAUGCAGCACAGGACUGAUAAGGAGGAAGGGAGGAACGUGGCUGUCUGUAAGAACUAUAAUGAAUUCAAGCAUCUUACCAAAGUUCUUCCAUUCUUGCACCAUGAACUGAUCAUUCAUUUUCUGGUGGAGCAUAGGCCUUCCACACUCUUUAGGACCCCAUCUAGCAUUUUACUUUCUUUGAUCUCCAAGACUGAUUAAUGAAGCCAGCUCUCUUUCAGCCAGGAAUGAAAAAAAAUAUUAUUAGCCCUCCAUAACUCAGAUAUUGUGUUGCAACAUCCCUUUUGGUAAUGUCAGAUCAUAACCAGUGAUAUUAUGAAUAAAUGAACAUUUUACUCUGUA